AAGCAUCAAAAUAGUAAUCACAAGAAUAUAAGAACAACCAAUAUGAUAAAUAAUUAUGCCGAAUCAAAAUCACUAAACACUCAUUUUGUAAGUAGAUAUAAUUCAAGAACGAGAAGUUUAACUCCGCAUAGACAUAGAGAUAUUACAACCAAUCAUUCAAAGAAAAGAUGUAAAAUAAAUAAAAGAGAAGAAAAGAUGAAACCCUAAAUCAAAAGUUAAUUUCUACAUUGUAUCCUCCUCUCCCAAUAAUUAUUCCCUUAUGGACUAUUUAUAGAUAUCAAAAAUCCUUAAUAAAGCAAUUGAGUCCAAAAUAAAUUAGGAAUCGAAAAUCAAACAGAAAUAUAUUUCGCCUCAAACUCCUUCGUUGACCCAACAAUUGUGGGUGUCUUCAGAAAUUUCCACAUGGC
rnacentral:lncRNA from 1 species